UUUAAUUGAAGAGUUUGAUCAUGGCUCAGAUUGAACGCUGGCGGCAGGCUUAACACAUGCAAGUCGAGCGGUAGCACAGGGGAGCUUGCUCCCUGGGUGACGAGCGGCGGACGGGUGAGUAAUGUCUGGGAAACUGCCUGAUGGAGGGGGAUAACUACUGGAAACGGUAGCUAAUACCGCAUAACGUCGCAAGACCAAAGAGGGGGACCUUCGGGCCUCUUGCCAUCAGAUGUGCCCAGAUGGGAUUAGCUAGUAGGUGGGGUAAUGGCUCACCUAGGCGACGAUCCCUAGCUGGUCUGAGAGGAUGACCAGCCACACUGGAACUGAGACACGGUCCAGACUCCUACGGGAGGCAGCAGUGGGGAAUAUUGCACAAUGGGCGCAAGCCUGAUGCAGCCAUGCCGCGUGUGUGAAGAAGGCCUUCGGGUUGUAAAGCACUUUCAGCGAGGAGGAAGGUGGUGAGCUUAAUACGUUCAUCAAUUGACGUUACUCGCAGAAGAAGCACCGGCUAACUCCGUGCCAGCAGCCGCGGUAAUACGGAGGGUGCAAGCGUUAAUCGGAAUUACUGGGCGUAAAGCGCACGCAGGCGGUUUGUUAAGUCAGAUGUGAAAUCCCCGGGCUCAACCUGGGAACUGCAUUUGAAACUGGCAAGCUAGAGUCUCGUAGAGGGGGGUAGAAUUCCAGGUGUAGCGGUGAAAUGCGUAGAGAUCUGGAGGAAUACCGGUGGCGAAGGCGGCCCCCUGGACGAAGACUGACGCUCAGGUGCGAAAGCGUGGGGAGCAAACAGGAUUAGAUACCCUGGUAGUCCACGCUGUAAACGAUGUCGAUUUGGAGGUUGUGCCCUUGAGGCGUGGCUUCCGGAGCUAACGCGUUAAAUCGACCGCCUGGGGAGUACGGCCGCAAGGUUAAAACUCAAAUGAAUUGACGGGGGCCCGCACAAGCGGUGGAGCAUGUGGUUUAAUUCGAUGCAACGCGAAGAACCUUACCUACUCUUGACAUCCAGAGAACUUUCCAGAGAUGGAUUGGUGCCUUCGGGAACUCUGAGACAGGUGCUGCAUGGCUGUCGUCAGCUCGUGUUGUGAAAUGUUGGGUUAAGUCCCGCAACGAGCGCAACCCUUAUCCUUUGUUGCCAGCGGUUCGGCCGGGAACUCAAAGGAGACUGCCAGUGAUAAACUGGAGGAAGGUGGGGAUGACGUCAAGUCAUCAUGGCCCUUACGAGUAGGGCUACACACGUGCUACAAUGGCAUAUACAAAGAGAAGCGACCUCGCGAGAGCAAGCGGACCUCAUAAAGUAUGUCGUAGUCCGGAUUGGAGUCUGCAACUCGACUCCAUGAAGUCGGAAUCGCUAGUAAUCGUAGAUCAGAAUGCUACGGUGAAUACGUUCCCGGGCCUUGUACACACCGCCCGUCACACCAUGGGAGUGGGUUGCAAAAGAAGUAGGUAGCUUAACCUUCGGGAGGGCGCUUACCACUUUGUGAUUCAUGACUGGGGUGAAGUCGUAACAAGGUAACCGUAGGGGAACCUGCGGUUGGAUCACCUCCUUACCUAAAGA
rnacentral:rRNA from 1 species